UGGGGAAUUUUGCACAAUGGGGGAAACCCUGAUGCAGCGACGCCGCGUGAUUAGAAGGCCUUCGGGUUGUAAAAAUCUUUUCUAUGGGAAGAAAAUGACAGUACCAUAGGAAUAAGGACCGGCUAAUUACGUGCCAGCAGCCGCGGUAAUACGUAAGGUCCGAGCGUUGUCCGGAAUCAUUGGGCGUAAAGGGUACGUAGGCGGGUAAGCAAGUUAGAAGUGAAAUCCUAUAGCUCAACUAUAGUAAGCUUUUAAAACUGCUCAUCUUUAGGGAUGGAAAGGAAAGUGGAAUUCCUAGUGUAGCGGUGAAAUUCGGAGAUAUUAGGGGGAAUACCGGUGGGGAAGGGGACUUUCUGGCCAUAAACUGACGCUGAGGUACGAAAGCGUGGGUAGCAAACAGG
rnacentral:rRNA from 1 species